GCCGUAAUAGUGUAGUGGUUAGCACGUCAGCUCUCAACAAGCUGAAGUCGCGGGUUCGAUUCCCGCUUACGGCG